AUGUUGCAUAGCUUUCAGAGAACUAGGAAAGUAAUGGUGGACUCUCAUGAAGCACAAAGACAGAUAAUGUUUGAGGCAAAUUCCUUCACCGGCCCUGCGUAUGAGAAAUUCUGCAAUGAUGCCCAGCGGCAUGCUACUCUCAAGCUGGAGGUCGAGCUUAGGAACUGGAGGUCCUGCUUCAUGAGCUACGUCAGUGCUCAGAAGGCGUACAUCGAAUCCCUUGAUGGUUGGUUGUCCAAGUUCAUGCUCACAGACACCAUCCGUUAA
rnacentral:rRNA from 1 species